rnacentral:rRNA from 1 species
UACGUAGGGCGCGAGCGUUGUCCGGAAUUAUUGGGCGUAAAGAGCUCGUAGGUGGCUUGUCACGUCUGCCGUGAAAGCCCAUGGCUUAACUGUGGGUCUGCGGUGGAUACGGGCUGGCUAGAGGUAGGUAGGGGCAAGCGGAAUUCCUGGUGUAGCGGUGAAAUGCGCAGAUAUCAGGAGGAACACCGGUGGCGAAGGCGGCUCACUGGACCACAACUGACGCUGAGGCGCGAAAGCUAGGGGAGCAAACAGG